AGAGGCAAAAACUUGACAAUUGAUAACCCUCUUUUUCCCGAAAGAAAACUUACACUUAGUAAAUUUUUUUUUAAUUCCCUCCAAAGGUCAUCACUCACCUCCUGAAGAAACCCUCUCACCACUCACCAUCGCCACUGACCACUCACCAUUGCGCUAAAACCCUCUCACCAUCAUGAAGAAACCCACUUAUCACCAUCCACCACUGACCGUCACUCCUGUUCGCCCUCAUCUAUGCGCUUCUCACCUUCGCCAACCUUGUCGCACACAACCCUCACCUUCGCCAUUCUCACCGUCGUUGAUGACCAUCGCUGUUGUUGCGCUGACCAUCGCUCUUCUUCUCGGUUCUACCCUAAUCGUCUUCUCCGUGCCCUAAUCGUUGAUGACGGUCGCUGUUCUGACCAUCGCUGUUGCUGCGCCACCGUCACCAUCAUCAUCUCCGUGCUUCUCAUCAUCGUCUUCACUGUGCUCACAUCGUUGAAUAUCUUGAAGCAGCAAUAACCAAGGAUGAGCUUCAGCACCUCGCUUUGCUGUUCAAAUCUGAAUUCGAUUCAAUUGGUCAAAUCACUGCUGGAGUUUUGCGACUGCUUAAGCUGGAAGGUUCUGUUGGUCAGGCUGUAAUAGAUCAACUUGGUAACCUAGGCUAUCUUCAACGGGUAGUGUGAAGUCAUUGCUUUGUGAAAUAGGCUACAUGAACAACUCUGGAACAUUAGUUUAAUUUGCAACCUCUCUUUCUCCGGAGAAAUUGAGCACAUUGAGAUCUUCAGGUAAAUUUUGACGUGCAAGUGGAUCAAUCAUAUCAUCAAGAAAAAAAGAGCUAUAUAGACAAAAGGCUUUCACUAAAAAACAAAAAAGGAACAGGGGGUCCAACUCCAGCAUCAGCACUAAAGCUAGACAAGCUUCUCCAUGAUUAGGUGCUAGUCCUAAUCAUGUUCUAUAUGUUGCUGCUGCAUGUAGUAGUAGUAGUUGGAGGAGUAAUAAUUCAAGAUUGGCUUGUGUAGGAGAGUUCAACUUUUCAAAUGUGAAGAGAAUAGAGAAACUUUGUGGCAACAGUUCUGAUUUUGGCAUUGUGGUGGGAGGAUAAUGUUGAGGAUGAUGAUAAUGAAGAUUAAGUUGAUUAUUAUUGUGAUUUAUUGGCUAAGAUAGAGUAGUGUUGGGAAUGGAUACAUGUAUAGUUGACUAAUGACUUUUAUUAGAAGAUACAUAUGUAGGAUAUAAUAUUUUAGUUUUUUAUAGAGUAUGAGUAGUAAAUUCUAAGUGAUAUCAUAGUUAUUUUGAUAUGGCUAUGUUUAUUUUAAUAUGAGAUGUAUGAAUAUUUAAAAUUAACAUUAUUCUAGUACUUUUGGAUCAUUAUUAUAAA